UACAGAGGUCCCAAGCGUUGUUCGGAAUUACUGGGCGUAAAGGGCUCGUAGGCGGCCAACUAAGUCGGACGUGAAAGCCCUCGGCUUAACCGAGGAACUGCGUCUGAUACUGGAUGGCUUGAAUUCGGGAGAGGGAUGCAGAAUUCCAGGUGUAGCGGUGAAAUGCGUAGAUAUCUGGAGGAAUACCGGUGGCGAAGGCGGCAUCCUGGACCGAGAUUGACACUGAUGAGCGAAAGCUAGGGGAGCAAACGGG
rnacentral:rRNA from 1 species